AGAGUUUGAUCCUGGCUCAGAUUGAACGCUGGCGGCAUGCCUAACACAUGCAAGUCGAACGGAAACGAUGGGAGCUUGCUCCCAGGCGUCGAGUGGCGGACGGGUGAGUAAUACUUAGGAAUCUGCCCAUUAGCGGGGGACAACUCGGGGAAACUCGAGCUAAUACCGCAUACGCCCUACGGGGGAAAGCGGAGGACUCUUCGGAGCUUCGCACUAAUGGAUGAGCCUAAGUCGGAUUAGCUUGUUGGUGAGGUAAAAGCUCACCAAGGCGACGAUCCGUAGCUGGUCUGAGAGGACGAUCAGCCACACUGGGACUGAGACACGGCCCAGACUCCUACGGGAGGCAGCAGUGGGGAAUAUUGAGCAAUGGAGGAAACUCUGACGCAGCCAUGCCGCGUGAGUGAAGAAGGCCUUAGGGUUGUAAAACUCUUUCAAUGAGGAAGAUAAUGACGGUACUCAUAGAAGAAGCCCCGGCUAACUCCGUGCCAGCAGCCGCGGUAAUACGGAGGGGGCUAGCGUUAUUCGGAAUUACUGGGCGUAAAGCGCGCGUAGGCGGUUAGUAAAGUUGGGAGUGAAAGCCCGAGGCUCAACCUCGGAACUGCCCUCAAUACUGCCAGUCUUGAGUUCGAGAGAGGUGAGUGGAAUUCCUAGUGUAGAGGUGAAAUUCGUAGAUAUUAGGAAGAACACCAGUGGCGAAGGCGGCUUACUGGCUCGAUACUGACGCUGAGGCGCGAAAGCGUGGGGGGCAAACAGGAUUAGAUACCCUGGUAGUCCACGCCGUAAACGAUGGGUGCUAGUUGUCAGGCAGCUUGCUGUUUGGUGACGCAGCUAACGCGUUAAGCACCCCGCCUGGGGACUACGGUCGCAAGACUAAAACUCAAAGGAAUUGACGGGGGCCCGCACAAGCGGUGGAGCAUGUGGUUUAAUUCGAGGCAACGCGAAGAACCUUACCAGCUUUUGACAUCCCGGUCGCGGUUAGCAGAGAUGCUUUCCUUCAGUUCGGCUGGACCGGUGACAGGUGCUGCAUGGUUGUCGUCAGCUCGUGUCGUGAGAUGUUGGGUUAAGUCCCGCAACGAGCGCAACCCUCGCCUUUAGUUGCCAGCAUUUAGUUGGGCACUCUAGAGGGACUGCCGGUGAUAAGCCGGAGGAAGGUGGGGAUGACGUCAAAUCAUCAUGGCCCUUACGGGCUGGGCUACACACGUGCUACAAUGGCGGUGACAGUGGG
rnacentral:rRNA from 1 species